AAAUGGGUUGGAAGUUCAAAAAGAAACACCAGAUGCCGAAAUCAAGUCAUUUUUCAACUCAGCUCCUCCUUUGAAGGACAUCGAUGAUAUCUAUGGAAAGCUUGAGGGAUUUGUGAAGAAGGAUUCGACACCUUCCAGCAGUUGCUACUUUAGGGACUUAUGACAUAGCAUUAGAUAUGGGAAAGAGGUGAUAUGUCAAAGGUGAAGGCUUUGCGUGAUUGGACACAAACUUUACUUGGCGUGAUUGGGAAGAUAAUGUGAUGGCUUUGUUUCGCCAAGGCCAGACGUAUAUGACACUCAAUGACAUCGACGCUGCAGUUGAAAGCUUCAAGAAAGCACUGGAGUUGGAACCAAAUGAUGGUCAGUGGUGUUACAUAACCUAACUUAAUACAAAAUAGGCUCUUUUAUGAACUAGGUUAUU